rnacentral:rRNA from 1 species
UACGUAGGGGGCAAGCGUUGUCCGGAUUUAUUGGGCGUAAAGAGCUCGUAGGCGGCUGUUCGCGUCGGGUGUUAAAGCUCAGGGCUCAACCUUGAGAGGCCAUCCGAUACGGGACAGCUAGAGGCAGGUAGGGGAGAUUGGAAUUCCUGGUGUAGCGGUGAAAUGCGCAGAUAUCAGGAGGAACACCGGUGGCGAAGGCGGAUCUCUGGGCCUUGCCUGACGCUGAGGAGCGAAAGCUGGGGGAGCGAACAGGAUUAGACUACCCGCGUAGUCC